rnacentral:rRNA from 1 species
AGUGAACGCUGGCGGUAGGCCUAACACAUGCAAGUCGAACGGCAGCACAGUAAGAGCUUGCUCUUACGGGUGGCGAGUGGCGGACGGGUGAGGAAUACAUCGGAAUCUACUUUUUCGUGGGGGAUAACGUAGGGAAACUGACGCUAAUACCGCAUACGACCUACGGGUGAAAGCAGGGGAUCUUCGGACCUUGCGCGAUUGAAUGAGCCGAUGUCGAUUAGCUAGUUGGCGGGGUAAAGGCCCACCAAGGCGACGAUCCGUAGCUGGUCUGAGAGGAUGAUCAGCCACACUGGAACUGAGACACGGUCCAGACUCCUACGGGAGGCAGCAGUGGGGAAUAUUGGACAAUGGGCGCAAGCCUGAUCCAGCCAUACCGCGUGGGUGAAGAAGGCCUUCGGGUUGUAAAGCCCUUUUGUUGGGAAAGAAAAGCAGCAGGUUAAUACCCCGCUGUUCUGACGGUACCCAAAGAAUAAGCACCGGCUAACUUCGUG